UACGUAGGGCGCAAGCGUUAUCCGGAAUUAUUGGGCGUAAAGAGCUCGUAGGCGGUUUGUCGCGUCUGCUGUGAAAGACCGGGGCUCAACUCCGGUUAUGCAGUGGGUACGGGCAGACUAGAGUGAUGUAGGGGAGACUGGAAUUCCUGGUGUAGCGGUGAAAUGCGCAGAUAUCAGGAGGAACACCGAUGGCGAAGGCAGGUCUCUGGGCAUUAACUGACGCUGAGGAGCGAAAGCAUGGGGAGCGAACAGG
rnacentral:rRNA from 1 species